CCGGGUCUGGCCUCCGAUGCCCGCCCAGCCCCGCUGCCCAGACCACCCAGUGAGGACCCCUGGGCCUGCGAGCCAGGGUGGCCUGUGAUGAGCCCCGGGAACAGCAGUUCAUUCCACACAAGGGAAGGGCAGCCUCAGUGGGGACCGGCCUCCUGCACAGAUGGCUCUUGGAGGAGUUGCACUGAACCGAAAAAGCCACCCGGUGCACCGCAGGGGAGAGACCUGGUUGCAGAAGCUUCUCAGUCCCGACCCUGCGCAGGUCACCUCGCGCUCAGGACGUCCCUCGAGGGCCCGAGGACCCCUGGCCAGGCUUGUGCCCUAGGAAUGAAAACUGCAGUGUGCCAGAGCUUCCUGCUGUUGGGGAUGUGCUAUGGGAAGCGACCCAGUUACCCUGUGGCAGCUCAGCCCAGCGUGGGGCCGCUCAGUGGCUGGACCUGUGUCGCCCUAGCUGUGAGAGGGGCCAGGCAGGUUCUCCAGGGACCUGGCAGCCUCUGUGCGUCUCCAGCCCCCUCAGGCUGUGGCCUGGGUGUGUGCAGAGGCAACGUGCCUACUUCUGGAGCCUCCACGUGACUGUCAUGCCUGUUCCCUCCUGGGAGGGGACACUGUAACACAGGCUGCUCAGGCUGGGCAGGCAAACCACUGGCUCUGUUUAGCUUUCCCUCAGCCUGGGCCUUCAUCAUCUCUACCCAGGCACUGACCUCUCCCUUCUGUAUUUUCCUUUUGUGGUGCUGGGGAGUGAUUCCAGGGCCUUCACAGUGAGCUGCAUCCCCAGCCCUUUUUAAAAUUUUUUGAGCACUUAGGAGGCUGAGGCAGGAGGCUUCCUGUGAGUUCAAGGCCAGCCUGGACUACAUAAUGAGACUCUCAAAAAAUCAAAAAUAAAUAAAAAUAAAAAUUUUAAAUUUUGAGACAGGGUCUUAUUAAAUUGCCUAAGGUGGGUUCAGACUUCCAGUCUCUUGCCUCAGACUCCUAGAGUUCUAGAAUUACAGGCAUGUGCCACCAUUUUUUUUUUGGCACUGGGGAUCAAACUCAGGACUUGUGCUUUUGAGGAAGGCAGGGUGCCACUGAGCUAAAUCCCGGCCCAGCAUCAUCUUUAGCUAAAGGUUUAUACUUCCACAGCAUCCUCACCUAUAUAGCCAGUGCCUCCGCGAGGCUAGAGACAGACCAUAUAAGCAGGGGAAUGAGGCAGGGCAGGAUUGGACAAGCCCCUGAAAUUAGGAGCACAAAACCUGUGAGGGUUUUGAAUCCUCCAAAGGUUGAAAACCAUCCUGCAGACAAU
rnacentral:lncRNA from 1 species